rnacentral:lncRNA from 1 species
AGCAUCAUUUUCUAGUAAGAUGGAACAUAUAAAGAGCAGAGAAGCAGGUGUGUGGAAGCACAACAAGAAGCACAAGAAUUGAAACAAAACCCACUUGGUGUGACAAUAAUUUACAAUUCUUUUGUUUAAUAAAAAUACAAAAAUCCGAUAUCAACACUAUUUCCACUUCCACUCAGCUGAGAUCGCAGUGCCUACUAAAUGGCUUGAUUAUGGAUAAGCAUUACACACGACGCAAGAUCCUUGUGGCCAACACGGUAGUCGUCGACGUAUAGUGGUUACUCCUAGUCACAUCACACUUAACAUCAACGUAUCCUUCUUGGCGUUGUGCAGAAACAGAAGGCAUGGCUGAACUCAUCAGGUGUAACAAAAUGUCUCUGUAGAAAAAAUAAUAAGAAACAAGGAAGCACACACUUGCACUUGCAAUAAAAAAUGUAUAUCACUUUGUGCAUAUAAACAUUUAUACAAUAGAAAUAUAUGCGUGAAUUAAUGGAAGCACAUUCAUUCGAAAUAAAAAUGCGAGAAAGAAUGAAGCAUGCUUGCUAAUGAUUUGAGGCUUUAAGGUAUGCUUAGAAAUUGAUGAACAAGCUAAACAAACUAUGCGAAGGUAAAAUUACCCAUCUUGGGAUGAAGCUUAGAACAUUGAUAAUGGAGUACAAACUAAGCUUGCUACUAACAGGACGAUGCAUCUUUUGUGUCACUUAGAAAGAUAUUAACCGAUUUUCUGUUGAUAAAUGGAAGCAGUUUCCAGUCAAACAAAAUUGAAGGAUUACAAUUUAGAUGCAUAAUGGCAAAAACAAGAAAAAUGCACUGGGUAUAUAAGUAGUGUCACCUAUCACCUGAAAUGUGGAAUUUUGAAAAUGAAACAUAAACAAAUAUUUUCACCCACCGGGCAGUCAUAUUCGUGGAAGUCUGGAAGAAGCAUGUAAAGGUUGCUAUGUCACCAAUUAUUCCUUUACCCCAUAUUGUUUUUUUCGGCAAGUACUACACAUAGGGUUGUUAAAAAGUGUUGGCUAUCAGUAUUGCGAAAAUAGGAUGAUAAUAAGGAAGCAUGAUGACAUAAUAGUAGCAGCUAGAAAUUAAACUGGCGGGAGCAUAUAAAAAAGAAUGGAAGCAUAACUUAUGUUGAGAAGAUUAGUUGAAGCUCUAUCAAAACAACAAAGGAGCACAAAGUAUAUGCCAUCGAAGCAUAGGAACACAAAGGGCAGCCCAGUCAACUGGCCUGCGGCAUAUCGGCUCUUCAGUACACACUCAAGCUUCAAAUUGCUUGGAAUUUAGAAGCAAUUUUGUGUGAUGGAGUCAUGAAAUUCAGGGUGCAUUUUUAGUCUUAGAUGGGAGCAUGGAAUUUCAAAAGGGGUAAACAUAACAAAUUUAGCGCCAAUACGGGGGUACGUUAUGCUCUAUUUACAGGAAGCACUGUAGGAUGCAUUGCAAAGGAAGUGUCGCAGCAAUUCUAAAAUACUCCUAGAUUAGAAGCACGGACAAAAAAUUGAAACAACUGAAUAAUCAGAACAAUACUAGGCCGGCAAUAAACAUAAAUAACAAUUUUCAUCCAGCUGAUGGAUGCAUUACACAUCAAAAUCUGUUGCAAAAAUUACAAAUCCCCAAAUGUGGGGCACUCCACGAAGUGCACAUACCUUUGAUUCAUGAUUGGGGAGCUUUCAAAUAGGGUUGCAAUUUUGAAGUCCAAAGGCCAAUACUCAGGCUGGCCGAUCCAAAAUCGAUGGGGGUGAGCCGAUUCAUUAGAUGGGAUAGCCUAGUGACUGAGAAAACUCCGCAGAAUCGCACUGGGUAGCGUCGGUGGAGUGGACUAGGUGGUAGCCAUGCUGCUCGGCGGGGAGGCUCUAAUGAGGAACAAUGGGGCAGGAGGCUGGGCGUUGCGGUCCACCGAUGCGAGGCGGAGCUGGAGGUGCGAGGCGGAUGGAGCGGGCUGGAGAGGUGGAGCUGCGAGGUCGUGUCGGUGGCCGGUGUGGUCGCGGAGCGGAGAGGCGUCGUUGGCUGGAGCAGUCGCGGUGAGACGGCGGCGGAGCAGUGGAUCUGGUGAGCGAGCUGGCGGCGAGGCAAUUCAGGUGGGAAGCAGAGCUCGUCGAGGGCCAGCAAUUAAUGCUGUAGAGAUACUAGGGGAGGUGAUUGCGAGCGGGGCCAGUGAUAUGCACGGAUCGGUGUUUCCGGUUUUCCGUUUCUUCUUUUUAAAACGAGACGAAAUCUGGAGCGUAAGCUGUCCAACGAAUCGACAGGGGUCGAGUGGUCUGGCGAUGGCGUUUCCUCAGACUACAGAUACCAAGCGUUUACCCAAGAUAUAUGUACUGGUGUAAAAGAAGCUAUCACUCAGGCACACAUGCAUGCAUGGAUGGAGGAGCAACAUAAUUAAAAAGAAAAAAAAAGAUUUCCAUCAAACCAAGAAACCACAGUAUUAGUGUCAAAAACACUCGUAUUAUAUGACGGAGAAAGUACCAAUUAAAGGUUCACUAGCACAACACACACAUGGGAGCAAAACCACCGACAAGCUUCCCAGCCCGCCGGUCAAAGGAAGCAAAACAAGAACGGAGGCGACCUCCCCAGCCAAGGCUAGCAGCAGGCAGCACACAUGAAUGAUGGACAUGAGUUUUGGUUUCAGCAGGCAUGUCCAAAGGAAUAAUAAGGACAAAGAUGAAUUUCAUACUUGCGCCACUACUACUGUCAAUGUGACUUUACAGGCAGCACAAAAAAGUGCUAUAAAUAUGCCUUGUCUUGCAUAUGUAAUUGCCACCAAAUAUUAAACCAUUAGCCAGGGAAUAUAUUAUAAACAAGAUAGAUCCGUGCAUCAAAGCGCUCAAGCAGGAAUUACAUAACACUUUCAUGGGUAUGCAGUUUCCCUUCUCAAUUAAACUACCACUAAUAGUUAAGAAUUCCUAGGUGUUUCGUUGAUUCUACUCACCAAGACCAGUCCAGUCUCAUUCAGUCCUUGCUGCCAGAUAAGCUCCCCUAGCCGCAAUCCACCAAAAAAACGAGUUCCUGAUCCAGUAAAUGAAUGGUAAACUUUAGGUCAAAUCUUGAUUGCACAUGCAAAUUCAAGGGCGCACAACAUAGAUAAUGUAGCACAAGUGCAAACUAUGGUACAGAAAAACUCAAUAUUGCCAUCCAACAACAGCACCCUCGGCACCAAUGUCCUUAUAGUAUGUGCAAUUUCUCACAUGAGUACUGUGCACCGGCAACUGUUAGACGAAUUCGGAAACAUACAUCUCGUCGUGGCUCUUAGAAUAUAUAAAGAAGGGAGAUUCCACACAAUUUGAUUUGUUAUUCUUAUAAACACAUGGACAGCUGUAUUAAACAACCGUACUAAAUGAGCCUUUACCAUCACUCUUCUUAGCUUCAGAAGUGCCUCAAAUCCAGAUGCAUAUGGGGAGGGAGAUAGAUUAGUAAACAAGGGCCGUAAACAAAAUGUUGACACAUAGCGGUGCAACUCAUGCAAUAUGUACAGAUGAUGGUCUUAUUAAGCUUCUGAAGAAGAUAGAAAUUAUCGGAAAAAAGAAGAAGAAGAAGAAGAAGAAGAAAAAGAAGGAGAGGAUAGAAGAAAAGACUAACCUACAAGUCAGCGCACAAGUAGGCUGNN